rnacentral:lncRNA from 1 species
CACAAUUUUCAUUUCUUCGACUGCCAGUUGCCACGGAAAGGAAGAAAAGGAAAGAGGGGGAAAAGCAAGCGCACGAGAAAUCCCUAGUAAGCUGGAAUUCUUUGCAGCUGUGGAAACCUAUAAUAACUUCUGUCGGAUUACAACUACAUCAAAGUUUAGAUGAGAAGGAGAGGAGGAGGUGGAGGCAGAGGCAGCAGAAGCUGAAGUGACAAAUGAAGGGCCAGGAACUAGUCACUCAAUGUCCCUAGGUGAGGCAGCAGAGGAGGAGAAGGCUGCAGUGAUGAUGCUCCAACACCAAAGGUUGCACNUGCACCCACAGAAGACCAUAAGGAGGACUGUUUGAUUAAGGGCAGUACUCUGAAGACCGAACACGCAAACAUUACACGAGGUGCCAAGACGAAAAAACACUCACAUCUCCCCAUCACUCACAGCAACAAGCAUGAACAAAAUUCUGAAAAGCUGAUAUCACAAGCUAGAGAAUUAGUUCUCCAGGAAUGCUAAACUUUGGUGGGAGAAUGGGUGUUGACUGGGUAGGAGAGACGGACUUGAACGUAUCCACAUGCUGAACUUUG